rnacentral:lncRNA from 1 species
GGGUAUCCUGUAUGAGCUGGGUAUCCUUUAUGAGCUGAGCUAUCCUGUAUGAACUGGGGUAUCCUGUAUGAGCUGGGUAUUCUGUAUGAGCUGGGAUAUCCUUUAUGAGCUGGGGUAUCCUGUAUGAGCUGAGUAUCCUUUAUGAGCUGAGCUAUCCUGUAUGAACUGGGGUAUCCUGUAAGAGCUGGGUAUCCUUUAUGAACUGGGGUAUCCUGUAUGAGCUGGGGUAUCCUGUAUGAACUGGGGUAUCCUGUAUGAGCUGGGUAUCCUUUAUGAACUGGGGUAUCCUGUAUGAGCUGGGGUAUCCUGUAUGAGCUGGGUAUCCUUUAUGAACUGGGGUAUCCUGUAUGAGCUGGGGUAUCCUGCAUGAGCUGGAUAUCGGUUAUGAGCUGAGCUAUUUUGUAUGAACUGGGGUAUCCUGUAUGAGCUGGGGUAUCCUUUAUGAACUGGGGUAUCCUGUAUGAGCUAGGGUAUGCUGCAUGGGCCUGGUAUCCUGUAUGAGCUGGGGUACGCUGUGAGACCUGGGUACCCUGUAAGAUCUGGGGUGCCCUCUGCAAGCUAGGGUAACAAAUGGACCCGUGUGUGUUCUGAGGACUGUAGAGGUUUAUCCCUCUCAGGUAAAAAUCCACAGGAAUAUUCCAGCCCCACAAGUGGCUCUGCUCCAACGAAGUCAUUCAAGAAGCAGGCUCUGUCCAAGUUGUGAGAUCCUUUUUCUGUCUUUCCCUAUGGCAAUGUCUAUCUCUGCAUGGCCAGAAGUUUUCAUCAAGAAAGCAGGGAGAGGGUGUGGAUGAGACACAUCCAUAGGUUAAGAGCUAGGUGUGGCGGUGCAUCGGGCUUCCUCUCCCGUUCCACUGAGGAGUGCGUAGUCACCGACCACUCCCAGCUGUGGAAAGCAGGCACCGCAGUCCAGAUUUGUGAUUGGGAAGAAGGCAGGGCAGAUCUGAUGGAUCUCUAGCAGUUUCCCCUCAGUAACCAUCUCUCUAGUGCCUAAGAAAUGGUGCCUGAUGGUUCAUUCAUUGUAGCAUUAUUUUUAAUACUAGAUUUAUUUUAAAUUCAGACUGUGUUAUAUGUUAUAAUACCUUUAUUUUAUACUGGAAGCAAGCGUCAAUGUAGGAGAGUCUUGAAACCCAGCACCAGAUAGUGGUUGCUAAUCCCAGUCUUCCAUACAAGGAUCCCGGGUUCUGUGAAGAAAUGCUUAAUUCUGGGACUGGGAGGGGAGUAAACAAGAUGAGCCUGGAGCAGAAAGCAAGGAAGUGUCCAAACCAAGCCAAACCAAAACACCCAGGAUGCCGCCAUAAUGGGGACAUUUUAAAGGGACAUAGGAGGCAAUGGAAAGAACCCCCAGUGGCUAAAGCUAGAGCAAUUUGAGCAACAAAGUAAGAUAGCAUUGGAAAAUAACUCAAAGUAUAGAGCCAGCCUAUUCUGAUAGAAAUGACUGAGGAAAUAAAUAAUUGGAGGGAGAGUGACAAGUUUUCUGUGCAGACUUCCAAAUAACUUAUGUAGAUCCCCUGCCCUUGAAGAGGGGAAGCACAGCUCCCCACUUUGGCCACGUGGGCUGCUCAUAAUGACUUCUUCCAAAAGGUAUGGAAAGGGGUAAGGCAGUUUUACAGUGGAGAAACCUGGCAGACACUGCUUCAGCCAGGUCAUCACGUUUAACCAUGCUCGGUUACGUUGACCCGAUGCACCCUUGAUGGGAUGGGAUGAAAGCGCUCGACCUCCAUCACAGGUGCAGUCUCCACUCAACCCACUAUGAGAAAAACAUCAAACUCCAAUUCUUCAGUGUUCCUGCCGGUCCUCCUCAGAACAGCCAAGGUCAAGGUCAUUCAACACAGGAAAGUCUGAGAAUCCAUCACCACCAAGAGGAGUCUAAGGAGAACUGAGGAUUGAGGGCCAUGGGGUGUCCCGGCUGGGGUCCGGGGUAGAGACGGAUUUUAGGUAAAGACUAGAGAACCCCGAAUAAAGCGUGGGCUUCAGUGAAGCACUCCUGUGAGUCAGUACUGCUCUGUGAACUGGGGCGGAUGCACAGAGGAACACGAUCUAAUAAUGGGAAAAGAGGAGAUGGGGUGUGGGCUAUGUAGGAACUCUGUGCUAUCUUUACAAUUUUUCUACAAGUUCAUUAUUUUAAAAUUAAAAAUUUAGGAAGAAAAACAACAACAAAAACAUUCCCAGGGGAUUCCAUUGUCCAGUGGGCAUUAGAAUGUUGUUGUUGUUGUAAUUUGUUUAUUGUCACGUUAGCCAUUAUUUAUUAUUAUGUCACAUAUGUGAGACCACAAGGGCUGCUCCCCGCAUACCGGUGGCCCCCCCAGUUAGCUGCCUUGGGGAGGGGAGGAAGACCACCAGAGCCCAGGGUGGGGGCGAGGCGGCUCCCGGAGGCUCCCCUGCCCCUCCCAGUCCUCACCUCCUCCUCCCUGAGUGGCCUGGUGGGAUGGAAGGUGUCUGUGGCCGGCUGCCCAGAACACCAAGAAGGGCCCUCUUCCUCCUUGAACUUGAGCCAGCCCCUGGCGUCUUUCUCGGGGCCAGAGCUUUGCCUCUAAAUGGUCUUUGUUUGCAGACGAUCUGCUGUGCAGAUCAUGAACCGUCGCCGCAGUGCCAGACAGACUCUUCAUCCGGACCGGCCGUCCCACUGGGUCCCCUCAGGAAAGCGCAGAAGCCGGGGACCCCAAACCGCGUCCAGCUCCUCCCACCCGCCCUUCUCGGAGCCGCGCACUUGGUAACUUGCGUGUGAAGAACUCACGGCCGUGUUGCCAGGAAACUGCGGGGAGCAGCCUUUGUGGUCUCACAUAUGCGUAACAUAAUAAUAAAUAACGGUUAACGUGAUAAUAAAUAAACAAAUAACAAUAAUUAUAACGUGCCCCA